rnacentral:rRNA from 1 species
GUGUCAGCAGCCGCGGUAAUACGUAGGGUGCGAGCGUUAAUCGGAAUUACUGGGCGUAAAGGGUACGCAGGCGGCUAGGCAAGAAGGAUGUGAAAUCCCUGGGCUUAACCUAGGAAUUGCAUUUUUAACUGCCUGGCUAGAGUAUGUCAGAGGGGGGUGGAAUUCCACGUGUAGCAGUGAAAUGCGUAGAUAUGUGGAGGAACACCGAUGGCGAAGGCAGCCCCCUGGGAUAAUACUGACGCUCAGGUACGAAAGCGUGGGGAGCAAACAGGAUUAGAUACCCUGGUAGUCCACGCCCUAAACGAUGUCAACUAGCUGUUGGGGCCAAUAGGCCUAAGUAGCGCAGCUAACGCGUGAAGUUGACCGCCUGGGGACUACGGCCGCAAGGCUAAA